UGGUGGAGCGAUUUGUCUGGUUAAUUCCGUUAACGAACGAGACCUCAGCCUACUAAUUAGUUACGUCAAUGUUUCAUUGAUGGCAACUUCUUAGAGGGACUAUCGGAUUUCAUCCGAGGGAAGUAUGAGGCAAUAACA
rnacentral:rRNA from 1 species